GUUGUUAAUAACAAGAAGAUCUGGAAGGUGAACAUACCUCUUAAGAAUAAAAUCUUUGCAUGAUAUCUUCGUCGUGGAGCCAUUCUUACUAAAGAUAAACUUAUUAAGAGGAAUUGGCAUGAAAGCCCGCAAUGUGUCUUUUGUCACCAUGAGAAGACAAUAAAACAUUUAUUCUUCCAAUGCAAAUUGGCCAUGCUAUACCGGGGAGACGCGUUGCAAGAGUACGCACCCGACCGCGAAGCUGCCGACAGGAGUCAACGCCGAUAG
rnacentral:rRNA from 1 species